rnacentral:rRNA from 1 species
GGGAUAUUGGACAAUGGGCGCAAGCCUGAUCCAGCCACGCCGCGUGAGUGAUGAAGGCCUUCGGGUCGUAAAGCUCUGUGGGGAGGGAUGAACCGCCGGCGGUUAAUACCCGCCGGCAUGACGGUACCUCCUUAGCAAGCACCGGCCUACCUCGUGCCCGCAGCCGCGGUAAUACGAAGGGUGCAAACGUUGCUCGGAAUUAUUGGGCGUAAAGCGCACGUAGGCGGCUUAGCAAGUUGGAUGUGAAAGCCCUCGGCUCAACCAAGGAAGUGCAUCCAAAACUGCUGAGCUUGAGUACUUAAGAGGAUCGCGGAAUUCCCGGUGUAGAGGUGAAAUUCGUAGAUAUCGGGAGGAACACCAGUGGCGAAGGCGGCGAUCUGGGAAGAUACUGACGCUGAGGUGCGAAAGCGUGGGGAGCAAA